GCUCAAAGCAGAACCAAACUGAUGCAAAGAAUUAAUUUAUCUUCUCCACAACAGUCUUGUCUUCCUUGUGUGCUCCUUUAUCACCUCAAUCAUCCAGUGGCCCCACUGAUUGUUUGGCUGGCUUCCUGUUUCUGAUGCACUUA